rnacentral:misc_RNA from 1 species
CGAGGGGCAGCAGACCGUCAUGUAAACACAUAGAAAGACAGCGACACCUGCGGUUGGUCAUACGCAGGCUACCUGCGCACCUCUUCACCUCCCUGGUACGAAACCCUGUCCGAUCAUGACGUCUUCAAGCAAAGCAAAUGGCCCACUGCUUGUGCCGCCAUCGAAUUUCGCCAUGGUGGAGGAUGACGUCUACCGCAGCGCCUACCCAACCGAGGAAAAUGUGCUUUACCUGCGCCACAUCGGCGUCACGCAUCUUGUGCUUCUCUCUAUUGAGCAGCUGCCGGGCCCGGUGAAGCGGUUGCUCGGAUCGGAGGUUACUGGGAAGACCGCCAGCAACUGCCUCACGCGUGGCCCCAUUCGCAUUAUUAAUAUUGUGGACAUGCGCACCUGGCGCGUGGAUGGGGUGAAUAGUGGGGACGACUUUAGUCCCCACGACGUGACCCGUGCGCUGGACUUUGCAGUGGACCGGCGAUGGCAUCCAGUGCUCUUCGCUUGCCCUCUCGGCGAGCUACAAACGAACGUGCUGAUCGGGUGCAUGCGGCGCUACCAACACUGGGCCCUCUCGGCCAUCUUCAGCGAGUGCGAGCUCUACACGAGCGUGUGUCGCACUCUGCGGCAGUCAAUACUGCUCUUCAUUGAGUCCUGGGACCCCGCCAAUCACCCCCUUAGCGCGGUGAACAUUCAGUACCGUAAUCGCAAAAUGGCGCAGCGGGAGCGCUUGCGUGCGCACCAGGAGCGCCGAAAGCAUCGGCACGCUGCCGCGUUCGACGACGACCGCGACAGAACGAGCGGGUCCAACUCCUUCGAGGACUCCGCGGGGGAGAUGGAGCCGGAGGUACAGCUGAGCGUCAUGAGCGACCUACUUGACAAAAACUCCGCAGAUGGCCAGCACAGCAGCACCGUUUCGUCCACUGUGUGGACCUUUAGUGAGAUGAGUGUAAGGUCGACGUCACCGCCGAUGAAAGUGAAGGCGCCGAACCCAGACGCGGCUUUCAUCUCGACAAGCGGACAACGCCCGCCAAUGAUGAUGCGUCGGGCGGCUGCCGCUGCCGCGGCGGCGCGACUCCGCGAGCAGCAGGACCAGCAUCCUCACAAAAAAGCGUCAGCGAGUGAAGCGGACGAGCAGGCGGGCUUUGUGCAGAUGGAGGAGGGCAAGGUGGCCGGCGUGAUCUGGGCAGAGUGGUACCUGGAAGCCCUUCGUACCGCUGAGGAACUAAAGGCGCGCACAUACAGCUCGCCGUGCAUGCCCUACAGCGGCGCCGAUGUGUGCUUCGGAGCCGAGCUUCCCCCACCGCAUGUGCUCUACGCCGGCGCGCGCAAUCCGCCCGCGCUCGAUGCCCGCUCCACCUUCACCAAGGAGUCCAUCGUCGAGGAAGAUGAUGACUAGGGCGCGUCGGGUGUGUGUGAGGGGAGGAGAGGGGAGGGGGGGCAGUCGUCUCUCUCUGUCUCUCCCGAUCCUCCUUGUAUGUGUGCUGCCGUGUGUGCGGCGUCGCCAAUCUGAGUGCACUGCGGGAGAUACGAGAAAACUUGGUGGUGAGAGGGGGGCGCCACCGGAGCUCUUUUCUAUCGUCGUCCUCUCGUUGCAGGCGCUCACGGAGGGCGACCCACGGGAUCCGCUUGUUGUUCUGCUCCGUCUCCCGCGCGUGUGCCGUGUGUCGGCUUUUCCAACAAGAUUGGGCAGUUCUGCGUUCACCUUCUUUUCAACUCUACGGCUGCCCUGAGGCAUACCGGGUGCGGGCGUCCGAGCUGUCACCAUGAAAACAAAAAAAAAAAACAGCAACGAAAAAGAAAAACAUACAGCGCAGACAGGAAGGACGUGUGACAGGGUAUCUGGUGAACAUCUUCCUCGCCAACCGCAAGUAGAGCCCCCCUCCCUCACACUCACCUCCUGAUCUUUCUUUAGUGUACACCACGCUGAUGUGAAGCGUGCUGUGCAUCGUGCCGCGUGCAUCCUUUUUUUUUUUUCGUUAUUCUUCAGUGGUAUCAGCUCAG